GCAAACUUGGUCAUUUAGAGGAAGUAAAAGUCGUAACAAGGUUUCCGUAGGUGAACCUGCGGAAGGAUCAUUACAAAUCAGUUGUGGGCUGUGGGAGUGGGGGGGAGAGCGAGGGUGAAGAGAGGGGGUGGGUGGGGUUGGGCUUUGCUUUGCAGCGGGCACUCUUCCAUCCACUGCACUCUUCCACCCACUGCACUCUCCCCUCACACACGCCCUGCACAUUUGCGCAUGUUGUGUUUGACAGAGUAGUGGUACCCAUUCUAUGAGACAACUUUUAACAAUGGAUCUCUUGGCUCCUGCAUCGAUGAAGAACGCAGC
rnacentral:misc_RNA from 1 species